rnacentral:rRNA from 1 species
UACGGAGGGGGCUAGCGUUGUUCGGAAUUACUGGGCGUAAAGCGCACGUAGGCGGCUUUGUAAGUUAGAGGUGAAAGCCCAGGGCUUAACCCUCGAAUUGCCUUUAAGACUGCAUCGCUAGAAUCGUGGAGAGGUGAGUGGAAUUCCGAGUGUAGAGGUGAAAUUCGUAGAUAUUCGGAAGAACACCAGUGGCGAAGGCGACUCACUGGACACGUAUUGACGCUGAGGUGCGAAAGCGUGGGGAGCAAACAGG